AUUGAACGCUGGCGGCAUGCCUAACACAUGCAAGUCGAGCGGAUGAAGGGAUCUUGCUCCUGGAUUCAGCGGCGGACGGGUGAGUAAUUCCUAGGAAUCUGCCUGGUAGUGGUGGAUAACGUCCGUAAACGGGCGCUAAUACCGCAUCCGACCUGAGGGAGCAAGUGGGGGGUCUUCGGACCUCACGCUAUCAGAUGAUCCUAGGUCGGAUUAGCUAGUUGGUGGGGUGAAGGUCUACCAAGGCGACGAUCCGUAACUGGUCUGAGAGGAUGAUCAGUCACACUGGAACUGAGUCACGGUCCAGACUCCUACGGGAGGCAGCAGUGGGGAAUAUUGGACAAUGGGCGAAAGCAUGAUCCAGCCAUGCCGCGUGUGUGAAGAAGGCCUUCGGAUUGUAAAGCACUUUAAGUUGGGAGGAAGGGCAGUAAGUUAAUACCUUGAUGUUUUGACGUUACCAACAGAAUAAGCACCGGCUAACUUCGUG
rnacentral:rRNA from 1 species